GCAGCUUUCACAAAUGAUAAAUAGUCAGAAAUUGACGGACUGUCCUUUCCAGUUAAUGAACCGCAUUUACUGAUCACACAAGCUGUUUUUUCAACUUUUUUGUGCUACCUAACCUAACUGUACCGAACAAUUUUAAACGCCACUGUCGUUGCCGUUAAAUGCCGUUAUAUCUGUGUGACAUCAUUCGCGCUUAAGAACGCUGUCUCGCAGGCUUUGCUGUGAGUGCGCGUGCUGUCCCUCUCUCAGGCGCGUGUCCUUAAAAAGGAAACACAAAAGACGCACCCUAUCGUUUUGUAAUAAUAAAAAUAAUAAUACUACAUUUUAAUAAUGAAUAUUCAUUGUACUGUGAAUUGAUGGCAGUUGUUAUGGGGUUGUGGUGCAUAUCAGUUGUUAUUGUACACAUUUAUUAACUUUAAGAUUUUUUAAAGAACUUUAAAAAUGUAUACAAUGAAAUUAUCUCUUCUCUCUUUUUUUCAGUGUCUAUUUUUUCAUCUGGUUUUUGUAAGUGAUCAAUCCAGCAGUUAUCCUGCAUAUCUGAUUUGCCAUAUUGAUUAGAUCAAUGAAAACUGGAUGCAUUUUAAAUUAUUUAUAGGUUAGACAUUUGCUAUAUCUCAGGCAUAUUCUGACACACUUCUUUUUAUCCCAUCUGCCUGUGUCUCAACAGCAGUCCAGAACACCCCAAAGGGUCUUUUAAGAGCCAAGACACAGUCCGUCCUUUGGCUCUCAGUCCAGAACACCCCAAAGGCUCUUUUAAGAGCCAAGACACAGUCCGUCCUUUGGCUCUAUUUUGGGUUGUCUUCCUUUGCCUCCUCAGUUUUAAUUUCAAGAUACGAAUACAGGUUUGCAGGCAUUUCCAAAGCCCCCUGAACUCCCGAAAAGCCAAACUCUUGCUACCACUGUUCAAACCACUUCUGAAGAAUUAGCCAUGGAUCAGAAUGGCCAGUUGGCCUGGAAUAGACAGCUGCCAGAUUCAUCCUCAGAAAAUUCCGAAAGUGAAAUUCCAGAUGCUGAAGACAAUCACAGCCUAAUAAGGGAGUGCUCCAACUCUUCCAGUCAUCGACCAUACCAUGAAA